rnacentral:rRNA from 1 species
UACGUAGGGGGCUAGCGUUGUCCGGAAUCAUUGGGCGUAAAGAGCGUGUAGGCGGCUCGGUAAGUCCGCUGUGAAAGUCCAGGGCUCAACCCUGGAAUGCCAGUGGAAACUGUCGAGCUAGAGUCCGGAAGAGGCGAGUGGAAUUCCCAGUGUAGCGGUGAAAUGCGUAGAUAUUGGGAGGAACACCAGUGGCGAAGGCGGCUCACUGGACCGGUACUGACGCUGAAGCGCGAAAGCGUGGGGAGCAAACAGG